GACGAACGCUGGCGGCGUGCUUAACACAUGCAAGUCGAACGGGAACCUUUAUUUCGGUAAAGGUGAGAGUGGCAAACGGGUGAGUAACACGUAGGCAACCUGCCGACAGGAUGGGGACAACAUUCCGAAAGGAAUGCUAAUACCGAAUGGAGUCCGGAGAUGGCAUCAUCUCUGGAUAAAAGAUGGCCUCUGAAUAUGCUAUCGCCUGUCGAUGGGCCUGCGUCUGAUUAGCCAGUUGGCGGGGUAACGGCCCACCAAAGCGACGAUCAGUAGCCGGUCUGAGAGGAUGAACGGCCACAUUGGGACUGAGACACGGCCCAGACUCCUACGGGAGGCAGCAGUGGGGAAUCUUCCACAAUGGGCGAAAGCCUGAUGGAGCAACGCCGCGUGAGUGAAGAAGGUCUUCGGAUCGUAAAGCUCUGUUGCACGGGACGAAAACCGAGCUUGAGAAUA
rnacentral:rRNA from 1 species